rnacentral:hammerhead_ribozyme from 1 species
AUCCAACUGAAGAGUCUUAAAUAGGACUAAACGUACAUCCUGGAU